rnacentral:rRNA from 1 species
AAAUUGAAGAGUUUGAUCAUGGCUCAGAUUGAACGCUGGCGGCAGGCCUAACACAUGCAAGUCGAGCGGUAACAGGAGAAAGCUUGCUUUCUUGCUGACGAGCGGCGGACGGGUGAGUAAUGUAUGGGGAUCUGCCCGAUAGAGGGGGAUAACUACUGGAAACGGUGGCUAAUACCGCAUAAUGUCUACGGACCAAAGCAGGGGAUCUUCGGACCUUGCACUAUCGGAUGAACCCAUAUGGGAUUAGCUAGUAGGUGGGGUAAAGGCUCACCUAGGCGACGAUCUCUAGCUGGUCUGAGAGGAUGAUCAGCCACACUGGGACUGAGACACGGCCCAGACUCCUACGGGAGGCAG